rnacentral:lncRNA from 1 species
UGCUGCAUUCUACAGUCUUCAUGUUCACUUUGCUCUGGAAGAUUCUAGUCUUAGUUAUAAUCUAUUGUUUGGUCUACCAAAGUAGAGAUGCACCAGAUUGCACUUAAAAUCCACUACACAAGUCCUCAAGGCCUCAGUAAAACCCUCUGGAAGCCCUUUUGUGUCUGUUAUUCUUGGGUCUUUAAGCUAACAGAACCUGAGAUGCAUGUACCUUGGGAUGGCUGAACAGACUCACUGUAGCAGUGGAAGUAGGAGGGACAGGAGAUAUGUAUAAAAUACCAAAUUUCAGAAAUGAUUAGUUUUGUUUUUCACAGAACACAAAGGAAUCAAUUUAAAAGACUACUUGAUCUCAUCCCUAUAAUUUCAUUCUGGUGUACAAGGAAAGUAAUACACACUGCUGGAAAGGAGAUGAAACAUGGCUAAAUUAAAGCUACGUAUAAUCCAAAAAUCUUUUAGAUCUGGCUUGAAAUUCAACCAUACCCUCACCUAUUCACAGCCCCAUUUUGGGCCUGGCUCUGGGAGAUCUCUAAACAUAAUGAGACAUUUGUGGAACAGGGGUAAGGUAUGGGAAGGCAGGGUGGGUUAUGGGAGUCAGGCAAGCUUAGCUUCUCUGACCCUCUGUUUUCUCAUCUGGCAGAUAGAAAUGUUAUAUACAGAAGGUUCUUACAAGAAUGUUAUUCAUACAGAGGUUCUUAAAAGAACCUCAAAGAGUUCUUUUAAGCAUUGCAUGUAAAUAUGUGUAUAAACAGUAUAAAAUCUAGAACAUCAUAAUGCCCAGUUAAUAUUAGGUUUUUUUUUAGUGAUUUCUGCCCAUAAAGUUGGAAAAACAUGGGGACUGAAGAAAGAAAAGAUUAUUAAAAAUUGCAAAGUGGUUAAUCUCCUGGCACAUGAUUUAUUCUAUUUUUUUAAAGGCUACUGCUAGCUCCAAAGACUGGCCUAGAAACUGAAGUUACUGGCAACAGAAAUUCUAAAAAAUGGCAUCAAAUUUUCAAAGUAGAGGGACACAUCUUGGAUGUUAAAGAUAAGAGUCCUAGGUUGCUCUGCUCACAGGAGGACAUUAGGAGGAGAGUGGGUCACUUAAUCCUUCAUCGAGGCCACAUUGGUGUUAUUUCAUCCAUUUUGGUGGGCAUUGAGAUGACAUGGCUGUAGCUGUAUGGGCCUCCUCUGUACCCUGGAGCAGGUAUGGACUUCAACAUUGAAAUUGGUAGAGCUCACAAAUACACACUUUAACAAGAGGUUCUCUAGUCACACACACUGGAGUAAGAAGCACUGUACUAGAAUCCCCAGGUGGGUCUCUAUCUUUCCUCGAUGAAACACCUGAUCCUGUUUGAACAAGGUUGCUGAUUGUCUAGUAUCUCACAUUGGGUGAUCUUUCAAUGUUUUCUGCCUUCCAGAACUUGUGACCUAUAAAUGGUUGAUAAAUGAGUAAAAUGACUUGAGUCAGGGAAACUAAUAAGACCAGGUAUCCUGCUGUCAUUCAAUCUUCGACAUAGGAAAGACCUAUCCAGAAGACUCCGCAGGGUCUUGAGAGUGAUGAUAUUGCACUCUCAAGAUCACUGUGCCCUAUCAAGAAGUGAGUUGCCAGUUUAAGCCAAACAAGUGUCCAUUGAGAAUCACCACAGGCUCAGCCUUCCCACUGUCAUGAUCUGAGAAGACAGGUACUGUGUGUAACAGAACUUAACGUUCAGAGGGACAGAAGGGAGACAAAGCAGCCGCAUGUGCAUUGCACUUUAUUCUUCUCUCUGGUGGUCUUGCAAAGAGCAUCUCGUCUCCUGGUAGCUGCUAUAAUUAGUAUCUUAUUAUCUUGUCACUGUUCAAAUUUGAUUUGCUAAAUCAUUCUGAACUUCCCUGACAGGCUGCUGAUGCAAGGUCAGAAAAUAACAUUUCAUACUUAUUUUAGGCCAGCUUCCCUAGAAGCAGGGUCUGAGAUGGGGAUUUAAAUGCAUAUGAUUAGUUGGGAGAGUGCUCUUAGGAGAAAGGCGGAAAGUAGGAUAGGACAGGAGAAGAAACUCAGCCAAGAUGUGGUUCAGCUGAGGUUUUAUCUCAGCCUGAUCCUACAGGAAGCUAUAGAGAAUGAAGGGCACCGGAGACCAAGUCGUACGUUGAGGCAAAGAGGCUGGUCCUUUGAACCCUCUUGCCAAUCAGCUACAGAUUGCCCCCAGAAAUUUAGUGUAACCCCAUAACCUCCCAGAUAUUUCUCAGUGAGACAACUCCUCUAGACCAAGGUCUCAGUAUAAGGAGGAAAGCAGUUAUCUGGAAGCAAACAAUAAUCACAGCAACAGGGGAUGGGGCUCCUCAGGUGAAGUGUAUCUUGACAAUACUUACUAGCAAUUGUUUAGUUAUUUUAGGCAAAAACGGAAACUCUUCCAAUUUUAGAUAUUAAUUUUUUUAAAUUUCAUUACCCUUCACUGCUUCAAGUUCAAUAUAACUAUUAACUCAUUUAAUCCCCAUGACAACCCAGGAAUGUAUGCACUAUUGUUUUCAUUUUAUUGAUAAAAAACUGGAAGCACUAAAAACCUUGGAUAUUUGCAUAAAUUACACAGCAGAGGU